rnacentral:rRNA from 1 species
CCUACGGGUGGCAGCAGUGGGGAAUAUUGCACAAUGGGGGAAACCCUGAUGCAGCAACGCCGCGUGAAGGAAGACGGUUUUCGGAUUGUAAACUUCUGUUCGUAGUGAAGAAGAAUGACGGUAGCUAAGGAGCCAGCAACGGCUAUCUACGUGCCAGCAGCCGCGGUAAUACGUAGGUGGCAAGCGAUGUCCGGAAUUACUGUGUGUAAAGGGAGCGCAGGUGGGAAGCCAAGUCAGCUGUGAAAACUACGGGCGUAACUUGUGAACUGCAGUUGAAACUGGUUUUCUGGAGUGCGGUAGAAGUUGGAGGAAUUCCGGGUGUAGCGGUGAAAUGCGUAGAUAUUCGGAGGAACACCGGUGGCGAAGGCGACCAACUGGGCUAUAACUGACGCUGAGGCUCGAAAGUGUGGGGAGCAAACAGGAUUAGAUACCCUUGUAGUC